CACGUAGGGGCCAAGCGUUGUCCGGAUUUAUUGGGCGUAAAGAGCUCGUAGGCUGUUCGGUAAGUCGGGUGUGAAAACUCUGGGCUCAACCCAGAGACGCCAUCCGAUACUGCUGUGACUAGAGUCCGGUAGGGGAGUGUGGAAUUUCCGGUGUAGCGGUGAAAUGCGCAGAUAUCGGAAGGAACACCAGUGGCGAAGGCGGCACUCUGGGCCGGAACUGACGCUGAGGAGCGAAAGCGUGGGUAGCAAA
rnacentral:rRNA from 1 species